rnacentral:misc_RNA from 1 species
GAUGAAGAACGUAGCGAAAUGCGAUAAGUAAUGUGAAUUGCAGAAUUCCGUGAAUCAUCGAAUCUUUGAACGCACAUUGCACCCUCCGGCAUUCCGGGGGGUAUGCCUGUCCGAGCGUCAUUGCAACCCUCAAGCCCGGCUUGCGUGAUGGGGGCCCGUCUCGCCCGCGCGGCGCGGACGCCCCCCAAAGGCAGUGCGUGGCGGCCUGGACCGGCGCCCGAGCGAAUGGGACUCCACCAGCUCGAGGCGCGGCCGGCGGCCCGCUACCGACCAUCUAUUCUAACGGUUGACCUCGGAUCAGGUAGGGAUACCCGCUGAACUUAAGCAUAUCAAUAAGCGGAGGA